GCUGGGAUGGCGAAAUUGGCAGACGCACGGGACUCAAAAUCCCGCGAUGGCGACAUCGUGAGGGUUCAACUCCCUCUCCCAGCA
rnacentral:tRNA from 1 species